AGAGUUUGAUCAUGGCUCAGAUUGAACGCUGGCGGUAGGCUUAACACAUGCAAGUCGUGCGAGAAAGUAUCUUCGGAUAUGAGUAAAGCGGCGGACGGGUGAGUAACGCGUAGGAAUCUACCUAGUAGAAGGGGAUAGCCCGGGGAAACUCGGAUUAAUACCGUAUACCUCCUUCGGGAGAAAGAGGGCCUCUCUUUGAAGCUUUCGCUACUAGAUGAGCCUGCGUAAGAUUAGCUUGUUGGUGAGGUAAAGGCUCACCAAGGCGACGAUCUUUAGCGGGUCUGAGAGGACGAUCCGCCACAUUGGGACUGAGACACGGCCCAGACUCCUACGGGAGGCAGCAGUGGGGAAUAUUGGACAAUGGGCGCAAGCCUGAUCCAGCCAUACCGCGUGUGUGAAGAAGGCCCUAGGGUUGUAAAGCACUUUAAGUUGGGAAGAAAAGUUAUUGGUUAAUACCCAAUAACCGUGACAUUACCAUCAGAAUAAGGACCGGCUAAUUCCGUGCCAGCAGCCGCGGUAAUACGGAAGGUCCAAGCGUUAAUCGGAAUUACUGGGCGUAAAGCGCGCGUAGGUGGUUUAUUAAGUUGGAUGUGAAAUCCCCGGGCUCAACCUGGGAACUGCAUCCAAAACUGAUUCACUAGAGUACGAUAGAGGGAGGUAGAAUUCACAGUGUAGCGGUGGAAUGCGUAGAUAUUGUGAAGAAUACCAAUGGCGAACGCAGCCUCCUGGAUCUGUACUGACACUGAGGUGCGAAAGCGUGGGUAGCGAACAGGAUUAGAUACCCUGGUAGUCCACGCCGUAAACGAUGUCAACUAGCUGUUGGAAAACUAUGUUUUUCAGUGGCGCAGCUAACGUAGUAAGUUGACCGCCUGGGGAGUACGGCCGCAAGGCUAAAACUCAAAUGAAUUGACGGGGACCCGCACAAGCGGUGGAGCAUGUGGUUUAAUUCGAUGCAACGCGAAAAACCUUACCUAUACUUGACAUACUUGGAAUGCUUUGUAAUGAAGCAGUGCCUUCGGGAGCCAAGAUACAGGUGCUGCAUGGCUGUCGUCAGCUCGUGUCGUGAGAUGUUCCGUUAAGUCGGAUAACGAGCGCAACCCUUACCCUUAUUUGCCAGCGAUUCGGUCGGGAACUAUAAGGGGAC
rnacentral:rRNA from 1 species